CGGCGGACGGGUGAGUAACGCGUGGGUAACCUGCCUCAUACAGGGGGAUAACAGUUAGAAAUGGCUGCUAAUACCGCAUAAGACCACAGUACUGCAUGGUACAGUGGUAAAAACUCCGGUGGUAUGAGAUGGACCCGCGUCUGAUUAGGUAGUUGGUGAGGUAACGGCCCACCAAGCCGACGAUCAGUAGCCGACCUGAGAGGGUGACCGGCCACAUUGGGACUGAGACACGGCCCAGACUCCUACGGGAGGCAGCAUG
rnacentral:rRNA from 1 species